GGNNAAAUNCNNGGUUGCUUUCACAUGCAGUCGAACGGGUCAAGAAGCUUGCUUCUUGGUUAGUGGCGAACGGGUGAGUAAUAUAUCGGAACAUAUCCGGAAGUGGGGGAUAACGUAGCGAAAGUUACGCUAAUACCGCAUAUGCCCUGAGGGGGAAAGGGGGGGAUCGCAAGACCUCUCGCUUUCGGAGUGGCCGAUACCGGAUUAGCUAGAUGGUGAGGUAAAAGCUCACCAUGGCGACGAUCCGUAGCUGGUCUGAGAGGACGACCAGCCACACUGGAACUGAGACACGGUCCAGACUCCUACGGGAGGCAGCAGUGGGGAAUUUUGGACAAUGGGCGAAAGCCUGAUCCAGCCAUACCGCGUGAGUGAAGAAGGCCUUCGGGUUGUAAAGCUCUUUCAGCCGGAAAGAAAUUGCUUCUAUUAAUACUAGGAGUAGAUGACGGUACCGGAAGAAGAAGCACCGGCUAACUACGUGCCAGCAGCCGCGGUAAUACGUAGGGUGCGAGCGUUAAUCGGAAUUACUGGGCGUAAAGCGUGCGCAGGCGGUUUUUUAAGCCAGAUGUGAAAUCCCCGGGCUUAACCUGGGAACUGCAUUUGGAACUGGAAGACUAGAGUAUAGCAGAGGGGGGUAGAAUUCCACGUGUAGCAGUGAAAUGCGUAGAUAUGUGGAGGAAUACCGAUGGCGAAGGCAGCCCCCUGGGUUAAUACUGACGCUCAUGCACGAAAGCGUGGGGAGCAAACAGGAUUAGAUACCCUGGUAGUCCACGCCCUAAACGAUGUCAACUAGGUGUUGGGGGAGGAGACUUCCUUAGUACCGUAGCUAACGCGUGAAGUUGACCGCCUGGGGAGUACGGUCGCAAGAUUAAAACUCAAAGGAAUUGACGGGGGACCCGCACAAGCGGUGGAUUAUGUGGAUUAAUUCGAUGCAACGCGAAAACCUUACCUACCCUUGACAUGUCAGAAAGAUUGCAGAGAUGUGAUUGUGCCCGAAAGGGAAUCUGAACACAGGUGCUGCAUGGCUGUCGUCAGCUCGUGUCGUGAGAUGUU
rnacentral:rRNA from 1 species